rfam:Streptomyces alboflavus strain MDJK44, complete genome.
GGACAGCCAUCGCCGAGUCCCCGUACGGCGCGAGCCAGGGGAGCCGGGGACCCACACGUCCCUGGGGUGAAUCGGACCCCUUGCCGCGAGGCGAGGAGCCCGUAGGAGACCUUCCUGCUCCGAACCCGUCAGCUAACCCGGUAGGCGAGAAGGAAGGAAAG